ACCCCUAAUCCCGUCCGCAGUUCGCUAUCAAUAUCAAUGGGAAACUUUUCUGUACUUGAGUGUAACGUAUAGUUUGUCGUGCCAGGUGCCACAGUUCAAGCUUGAUAUCGUUCAGUGAAAGUUGUGUUGCGUUUACAGUUCUAUUCAGUUAAAUUUGUUUCAAUAUUUUUAUCGUCUUAAGUAUACUUACGUUUUUUUUGAAAAAAAAAAUAAAACUUUAAAAAUGGCUUUUAUGAUGCCGGUUGUUAAAAACGACUACAAUAUUUACAAGUCGAAUCGAUCACGCCGUAUUUCCGAUUGCUCGAAUCCUCAAACUUGCCGCAGCCGAAAAAUCUCCGAAUGCUCUAAAUCCGAAGGACCAAGUUUAUCUACCUCUCCUGGAAGCGAUUUUCUGGUCGGAUCUCCAGCUCACAGAUCCGUACCUUCGGCCAUGUCAUGCAGGCAGUUCUCCAGAAAUUCGUCGAGAACAUCACACUCGAGUUUACAAUCACCCAGCAAAUCGAAUUCACCAUCGCCGCCAAAAUCCAAUUCGACGUCUUCGUUGUCGAUGUUUCACAAUAAAUUGGUAGACAAAUUAAAAAGAUCGUUAAAAUCAAAAGACUCUGUUAGCAGUGAUUGUUUGCGGUUAUAUUUUUUAUAAAUAUACUUUUCAGUGGUAUUAUCGCUGUAUCUCUGACGGAACCCCGUUCAUUAAAAUUAUUUUCGGUUUGGAAGGAUCGCUUUAGCCCGUCAUGAAUGGAAAGUUAUAGCAAUACUUAAAGGUUGUCCGUGACACGUCGAUUAGGAACGAAUGAAUUUUAUAAGGGAAGCAGUUCGACGUUGAGUUCUGCUGACGCAGCUAGGAGGAGAUCCUGAGAUAUACCUAAAGAGGAGCAUGAUAUCCUCAGCAAAAGCACCUCACUACAUCGAUCUCCAGUAACUUCGUUCUCAGUUCCUAGCGCAGCUAGAAGACGUCAUAGAUCCGAACCCAGAGUCAUAUGUUCGUAUCCGGGACCGAUGCGAUGACAUACGGUUUCCGAACACAUCAAAAGAUGAUGAGAAGGCGUUGCUGCUGUCAUUAUUGGUACGACGACCGAAGAUGCGAAGAAAAAAACGAUACCAGAACCAGAUCAUCGUGGAUCGUUUUUUUUUCUUAAAAUCGAUUUAUGCAUUUAAUCAGUACUAAGGUGCUUUGCUGGAAUCAAAUUUUCGAAUCGCGCGUAAACACUGCCUUUUUGUAUAAAGUAUACGGUGAAGUACAUUUCAAGAGUUGUACUUUCGCAAAGAAUCAGUGUUUAAAAUUUUUACGGAUAUUAGCGAGCUUUUUUCAUGUUUCGUGUAUCAUCUACCUAUCUAUAUAAAUGCAUUUUAUGGCUACUCGUACUAUAUGGUUUGAAAUUCUGCUGAUGUGUGUGGAUGCGAGGAGCGAGACGAUGCAGAACACCAUUAUCUACCUAUCUCUGGACUCUGUACUUCAUUUUGAGGUACAAUAUUACCUAUAUUACUCUGUAAUAACCGGUGCAAAAUUACAAUUAACAAAAAUAGAAUCAUUUUUUAAUAGUCUUUCGGUACUUAAUUCUUUCUUCUUCCAAAAUAUAUACCUAUUUAAAUUAUACGCCUUAUUUAAAAAACGGAUAAUUAUCCGUCAUUCUUUGAACUAAAGCCAAACGAAAAAAAAAAAAAUAAACGAAAUUAGCCCAAUAAUAACGUAAAAAAAACCGCAUGUAAAUAUUUGUAUUUUCCUCGCAAUUUUUCUUUAUUUUCUUCUCUCUUGUUCUCUGUUUUUAUAUUAGUGAAAGUGUUAGUUAAAAUUCUAAUUUUAAUCAAAAAUCAACCAAAUGGUACUGUGAUAAUGCAGCAAAAUUCUUUGUUUAAUUGUGAUAACGGUAUUACUCCGUUUUCUCUAUUUUUGCGUUUUUUGAAUACGAGAUUUCGAAAAUUUUGCUUGAAACGUAUCGACCGGUUUUUUUUUCCUCGGCCGUCUUCGACGACAAUAAUAUUCGCACGUAAUUGAAAAUCGAAGCUUAAACGAUUCUUUCUGAUGAUAAAAGUGUAGACACGUGUGUGUAGUAUACUUGACGAAAUUAUAUCCAAAAUGUUUUUCCUUUCGAUAUUUUAUAAACAUUUGUCGGGCGAUAGGCUUCAAGGACACGGUUAUCUAAUAACCGUUAAUUUUCGUGAUCUUGCAUAAAUUACAUUUACACACGAUCGACGGAUGUAGGAGGAGGUAACACGUGCGAAUUUUUCCAUGCCUAGGUCAACGUUCGAUCGUGUUGAAUAUUUUCAUUGAAGAACGCGUUUUUUUUUCUUUCUCUCUCUCUAUAUAUGUUUCUUUGUUUAGAUAAAAUUUUUCGUUGCCUGUUCUCUAAUAAGCUGAAGACGAGACGGUCGAUUUAGAAUUUUUAGAGUGAUUUUUGGGUUUAAAAUUGUUGUUAGAUGAGAAUAGAACGCGAGCUACUGGAUAGUAUAAGAUACAAAUUCAAUAUUAUGUGAUGCUCAAUCGAAAACAAACAAAAAAAAAAUUACACAACGCAGUCGUAAAUUUAUCAUUAUUAUAUUUUUAUUGCUGUGAUGAAAAAAAAAAUAUAUUACGAAUAACAUUGAAAUAGAAUAUCGUGCAUUGUUUUUUGUUAAUAACGUAUAAAAUCACAUUAUACAUUAAUAUGUUAUCAAGUAUACGCUUACCUAUGCUUUAAUGUUUUCAGUUUACCGGUAUUGUAAUAAGAUUACAUUUAUGUUAGGUUUUUGAAUUUUUUUUUGUUAUACCUAGUUACGGAAAAAUAAAUUCUGAGAAAGUCUAAAAAAAGCUAUAAUAAAUUUCAAAUUUUUAUUCGAAUGUAUCUUUAUAUCGCAUCACAAUAUCAGAAAAAAUUGAGUUAAAGCAUUCCAUUUUGUUUUCUUUUUUGACCCAAUCAUACAGGGUGUCCAAGAAGAAGGGAUUUUGAUUGUUUUCAUAUAAACCAAAAUAGGAAAAAAUUUAUUCUUGGACACCCUGUAAUCAGCGAUGAGAAAUUUUAUCAUUUUAUUUAUUUACAUUAUAUUAUUUAUUUGAUAGUCUUGAGAGAAUUUCUCAGAUUUUCUCUUAUUGUAUAAUUUUAUAUCACGCCGGUUUUUAUAAUUUAAAUUUUAUACUGUAAUUUCGUUGAAAAAUAAAUAUUCACUACUGUA